AUACUUACCUGGCGGGGAGAUACCAUGGCAAAAGGUGGUUCACCCAGGGCGAGCGGCUUAUACCAUUGCACUCCGGUUAUGCGGACCCCUGACGAAUUCCCCAAAUGCGGGAAUCUCGACCUGCAUAAUGGGGGUAGGGCGGGACUGCGUUCGCGCUCUCCCCUG